AACGAACGCUGGCGGCAGGCUUAACACAUGCAAGUCGAGCGCCCCGCAAGGGGAGCGGCGGACGGGUGAGUAACGCGUGGGAAUCUACCCAUCUCUACGGAAUAACGCAUGGAAACGUGUGCUAAUACCGUAUACGUCCUUCGGGAGAAAGAUUUAUCGGAGAUGGAUGAGCCCGCGUUGGAUUAGCUAGUUGGUGGGGUAAAGGCCUACCAAGGCGACGAUCCAUAGCUGGUCUGAGAGGAUGAUCAGCCACACUGGGACUGAGACACGGCCCAGACUCCUACGGGAGGCAGCAGUGGGGAAUAUUGGACAAUGGGCGCAAGCCUGAUCUAGCCAUGCCGCGUGAGUGAUGAAGGCCCUAGGGUUGUAAAGCUAUUUCACCGGUGAAGAUAAUGACGGUAACCGGAGAAGAAGCCCCGGCUAACUUCGUGCCAGCCGCCGCCGUAACAC
rnacentral:rRNA from 1 species